rnacentral:rRNA from 1 species
AGGGUUCGAUUAUGGCUCAGGAUGAACGCUAGCUACAGGCUUAACACAUGCAAGUCGAGGGGCAGCAUUUUAGUUUGCUUGCAAACUAAAGAUGGCGACCGGCGCACGGGUGAGUAACACGUAUCCAACCUGCCGAUAACUCGGGGAUAGCCUUUCGAAAGAAAGAUUAAUAUCCGAUAGCAUAUUAGAACCGCAUGGUUUUACUAUUAAAGAAUUUCGGUUAUCGAUGGGGAUGCGUUCCAUUAGUUUGUUGGCGGGGUAACGGCCCACCAAGACUACGAUGGAUAGGGGUUCUGAGAGGAAGGUCCCCCACAUUGGAACUGAGACACGGUCCAA